CCUCCACCAAGUUUCCGCGCCCACUGCUCCCGCCCCGACCCUCUGGGAUGGGGCGUGGCCUCCCGGGGCGGAACCCAAAGGAAACUCAGUGCCUGCGCCCUCUGCUGGUGAAGCGAGGAAUGGAAGGAAAGAGGUGGGAUCCAAGGUAGAACCUGCGCACAAGCCAAAGAGAAGCCUUGCCGUCCAUGUUCUUUAUGGCCUGGGCUUGUUGCCUCCGGGAGUGAAUCGUGGCUGUGCUCGCAUUAAGACAGCUGGGGACCGAACCCAGGACCUUGCGCUUCCUAGGAACUUGAGAGUUCACUGAGCAUCAGCAUUGAACCAUUAGGAGGGGGCAAUUUUUGAAAUCCCAGCAAAACUCUGAUUUAAACGAACCCUCACUGUUGGCUCAUCUGAAGGCUGCAACUCUCUCCUAACUGUGAGAAAAAGGCGGAGGAUUUGCCAGAAGCCUGAGCACCCAUCAGGAUACUUGACAUUGGAAAAACACAGCUAUCACAAGGAACAAAAGUCAUCGACCCAAUCACUGAAGCCCAUCCCAUCCCCCCAGGCAGGGGUCACAGUGCCAUCCUUAUCUUUGAAGGGCAAUGCCCAUUUCCUGACCUCUCCAUACCUCUAGCCUUGCAUCUGUCCAUCAGAGAAGUGGCCAAGGGCCCAGGAGCUCUUUUCCCCUGAGGGAAGCAAAUCAAGGAUCUGAAAACCACACUGUGUUUAAUAUAUAUUUUUAAUAGCUCAGAAUCCAGCCCAGAGAAAAUGGGCACAGUUUUCUAAUUCCAGAAAUCUGAGAGGCACACACCUCAAGGCUUUUGCAAAGCUGUAUUUCCUGCCCAGAAGGACACACACACACACACACACACACACACACACACACACACACACACACCACCUGCUUCCACUAACCUUACCAGACCAAUUCCUCCCAUCCAGCAAGGCCUUCAAGCUUAGCAGUCACCCUUCUUGACCCUUCCAGGCAUCAGCAACAGGCAGGCUCUCCACUUCCUGAUGGUAGCUCCCUGGCCCUGAAUUGCAGUAGUCUUUGCUGCCCACCUCUUUUCUCCUAGAAGACUGCACCCUUUGCAGACACACUGAUAGAAAAAGCCUCAAGCCAGGGCCAGGGCUGGGUGCCUCACACUUAUUUGCUGAACCCAUACCAAUCUUGUAAAAGUCAAAAAACAAGACUCACUGGCCAUAUUGAAACAGUCAUUCUCCCAUGUAAGUCAAUGAUAAUUCUUUCUGUGCAGCCAGAGACACCUAAAACCAGAAAAGUGUUUAUCAUCCCAUCGUCCUAAGCGACUGUUGCUUUCCUUUUUCUUUCCUCCGCAUCUCCCCUUCUUUUCUUUUGGAGACAGGUUCGUGUGUUUCCCAUGCUGACAUUAAAUAUCUGGCUCAAAGCGCCCACCUACCAGAGCCUCCCGAGUAGCUGGGACUACGCAGCUCUGGUCACUCUGGUCACUCUGCUCAGCUCACAGUUCCUGUAGGUCC
ensembl:lncRNA